AAGAGUUUUGAUAUGCUCAGGAUGAACGCUGGCGGCGUGCUAAUACAUGCAAGUCGAGCGAACGGACGAGAAGCUUGCUUCUCUGAUGUUAGCGGCGGACGGGUGAGUAACACGUGGAUAACCUACCUAUAAGACUGGGAUAACUUCGGGAAACCGGAGCUAAUACCGGAUAAUAUUUUGAACCGCAUGGUUCAAAAGUGAAAGACGGUCUUGCUGUCACUUAUAGAUGGAUCCGCGCUGCAUUAGCUAGUUGGUAAGGUAACGGCUUACCAAGGCAACGAUGCAUAGCCGACCUGAGAGGGUGAUCGGCCACACUGGAACUGAGACACGGUCCAGACUCCUACGGGAGGCAGCAGUAGGGAAUCUUCCGCAAUGGGCGAAAGCCUGACGGAGCAACGCCGCGUGAGUGAUGAAGGUCUUCGGAUCGUAAAACUCUGUUAUUAGGGAAGAACAUAUGUGUAAGUAACUGUGCACAUCUUGACGGUACCUAAUCAGAAAGCCACGGCUAACUACGUGCCAGCAGCCGCGGUAAUACGUAGGUGGCAAGCGUUAUCCGGAAUUAUUGGGCGUAAAGCGCGCGUAGGCGGUUUUUUAAGUCUGAUGUGAAAGCCCACGGCUCAACCGUGGAGGGUCAUUGGAAACUGGAAAACUUGAGUGCAGAAGAGGAAAGUGGAAUUCCAUGUGUAGCGGUGAAAUGCGCAGAGAUAUGGAGGAACACCAGUGGCGAAGGCGACUUUCUGGUCUGUAACUGACGCUGAUGGCGAA
rnacentral:rRNA from 1 species